rnacentral:rRNA from 1 species
GACGAACGCUGGCGGCGUGCUUAACACAUGCAAGUCAAACGGCAAGGCCCUGCUUUCGUGGGGUGCUCGAGUGGCGAACGGGUGAGUAACACGUGAGCAACCUGCCCUUGACUUUCGGAUAACUUCAGGUAACUGGGGCUAAUAUCGGAUAGGAGCUCCUCUUGCAUGGUGGGGGUUGGAAAGUUUAGGCGGUUGGGGAUGGACUCGCGGCUUAUCAGCUUGUUGGUGGGGGAGUGGCUUACCAAGGCAUUGGAGGGUAGCCGGCAUGUGAGGGGGGACGGGCACAAUGGGACUGAGAUACGGCCCAGACGGGUACGGGGGGCAGUGGUGGGGAGUAUGACACAGUGGGCGGGAGUCUGAGGCAGCGGCGCCGCGUUCGGGAUGACGGCCUGCGGGGUGUAAACCGCUGUCGCCUGUGACGAAGCUGGUGUGACGGUAAUGGGUAAAGAAGCACCGGCUAACUACGUG